rnacentral:rRNA from 1 species
GUUUGAUCCUGGCUCAAGACGAACGCUGGCGGCGUGCCUAACACAUGCAAGUCGAGCGAAUGAAGUUCCUUCGGGAACGGAUUUAGCGGCGGACGGGUGAGUAACACGUGGGCAACCUGCCUCAUAGAGGGGAAUAGCCUUCCGAAAGGGAGAUUAAUACCGCAUAAGAUUGUAGUACCGCAUGGUACAGCAAUUAAAGGAGCAAUCCGCUAUGAGAUGGGCCCGCGGCGCAUUAGCUAGUUGGGUGAGGUAACGGCUCACCAAGGCGACGAUGCGUAGCCGACCUGAGAGGGUGAUCGGCCACAUUGGGACUGAGACACGGCCCAGACUCCUACGGGAGGCAGCAGUGGGGAAUAUUGCACAAUGGGGGAAACCCUGAUGCAGCAACGCCGCGUGAGUGAUGACGGCCUUCGGGUUGUAAAGCUCUGUCUUCAGGGACGAUAAUGGCGGUACCUGAGGAGGAAGCCACGGCUAACUACGUGCCAGCAGCCGCGGUAAUACGUAGGGGGCGAGCGUUGUCCGGAAUUAUUGGGCGUAAAGGGUACGUAGGCGGGCCUGCAAGUCUGAUUUGAAAGCACACGGCUUAACCGUGUGAGGUAAUUAGAAACUACAGGUCUAGAGAGUGGUAGAGGUAAAUGGAAUUCCAAGUGGAGCGGUGAAAUGCGUAGAGAUUUGGAGGAACACCAGUGGCGAAGGCGGUUUACUGGGCCACAUCUGACGCUGAUGUACGAAAGCGUGGGGAGCAAACAGGAUUAGAUACCCUGGUAGUCCACGCCGUAAAAAAUGAGUGCUAAGUAUCGGUAGAUUCGGUGCUUAAGCUAACGCAGUAAGCACUCCGCCUGGGGAGUACGGUCGCAAGACUGAAACUCAAAGGAAUUGACGGGGACUCGCACAAGCGGUGGAGCAUGCGGUUUAAUUCGAUGCAACGCGAAGAACCUUACCAGGUCUUGACAGUGUAAAGAAUACUUAAGAGAUUAAGGGCUAAGAAUUAAGCUUGCUUAUUUCACUUUAUAAACAGGUGGUGCAUGGUUGUCGUCAGCUCGUGUCGUGAGAUGUUGGGUUAAGUCCCGCAACGAGCGCAACCCUUAUUGCUAGUUGCCAUCAUUAAGUUGGGCACUCUAGCAAGACUGCCGGUGACAAAUCGGAUGAAGGUGGGGAUGACGUCAAAUCAUCAUGCCCCUUAUGACCUGGGCUACACGCGUGCUACAAUGGCUAAUACAAAGAGUUGCAAAACCGUGAGGUAGAGCUAAUCUCAUAAAGUUAGUCUCAGUUCGGAUUGUAGUCUGCAACUCGACUACAUGAAGUUGGAAUCGCUAGUAAUCGUAAAUCAGAAUGUUACGGUGAAUACGUUCUCGAGUCUUGUACACACCGCCCGUCA